AAAAAUAUUAUAAAUACUUUGGAAAUUUUGAUAAAAAAACUGCCCACUAUAAAAGGUUUAAGUAGGUUUAAUCUUCUAAAGUCAACAUAUUUUUAUAAUAAUGAGUUUGUAAAGCUUUUGAUAUCAAUCUGACUUUAAAAAUAUUUAGAGUGAUAACUAGAACCUUUAAAAUCAAAAUCUCUAGAUUCAAAAUUUUAAGGAAAAAUUGGAAAUAUACAACAAAAGAAGUAGUAGAUUGUCCCUAUGCCAUAAUAUGAACUAGAAGUUGUCCACUUAGUAUAAUUUUUUUAUGUAAACCCAAAUAAGUUCCUAAUCUAAGCCUAAAACGUUUUUUGUAAAUUUAAUAGUUAAAAAAAAAGUAAAAAAAAAAAAAAACAGAUAGCAAAUAAACAAAAGGGGAUAAUCCCAAAUUUUGACUUAGAACCCUAAUUUCGCCUCCUCUUUUGACGAUGCCAGAAGGUGUUCCCAAGCUCCCAAAGAUCCAACCGGCGGAUAUCCAAGCCGCCGUAGAAUGGGGUGUCGCCGCCGCAGCCGGCGCCAUCUGGGUCGUCCACCCAUUUGAUUGGAUAAAGAAGACAUUUAUUGACAAACCAGCAACUGAAGAGAACUGAUGGGAUCACCAAGAUGUAGACUUUUCUUUGCAAUAAAUUUUGGUUCUUUUUUUGGGGCUUUGUGAUUUCAUGUCUUCAAUGUAGACCUUUUGUCUUCUCAAACGUUAUAACACAAUAAAAAAGCAUACACUCUC